rnacentral:tRNA from 1 species
GGGAUCAUGGCUCAGUGGUAGAGUGCUUGCCUGGCAUGUGUGAGGCCCUGGGUUCAAAUCUCAGCACCCCG